rnacentral:rRNA from 1 species
AUACCGAACACUAUGGUAGUAUGGGUUAAUAUAUUGUCGCGUCGUCACUUGAAUACCAAAGGUGAGCCAGUACAGGAUGGACCCGCGUCUGAUUAGCUAGUUGGUAAGGUAACGGCUCACCAAGGCGACGACCAGUAGCCGACCUGAGAGGGUGAUCGGCCACAUGGGAACGGAGACACGGUCCAAACUCCUACGGGAGGCAGCAGUGGGGAAUAUUGCACAAUGGGCGAAAGCCUGAUGCAGCAACGCCGCGUGAGUGAUGAAGGCCUUCGGGUCGUAAAACUCUGUCCUCAAGGAAGAUAAUGACGGUACUUGAGGAGGAAGCCCCGGCUAACUACGUGCCAGCAGCCGCGGUAAUACGUAGGGGGCUAGCGUUAUCCGGAUUUACUGGGCGUAAAGGGUGCGUAGGCGGUCUUUCAAGUCAGGAGUGAAAGGCUACGGCUCAACCGUAGUAAGCUCUUGAAACUGGGAGACUUGAGUGCAGGAGAGGAGAGUGGAAUUCCUAGUGUAGCGGUGAAAUGCGUAGAUAUUAGGAGGAACACCAGUUGCGAAGGCGGCUCUCUGGACUGUAACUGACGCUGAGGCACGAAAGCGUGGGGAGCAAACAGGAUUAGAUACCCUG